GAAACCAACAGGGAUUGCCUUAGUAGCGGCGAGUGAAGCGGCAAUAGCUCAAAUUUGAAAUCUGGCGCCUUCGGUGUCCGAGUUGUAAUUUGAAGAAGGUAUCUUUGGUUUUGGCUCUUGUCUAUGUUUCUUGGAACAGGACGUCAUAGAGGGUGAGAAUCCCGUCUGAUGAGAUGCCCAAUUCCAUGUAAAGUUCCUUCGACGAGUCGAGUUGUUUGGGAAUGCAGCUCUAAGUGGGUGGUAAAUUCCAUCUAAAGCUAAAUAUUGGCGAGAGACCGAUAGCGAACAAGUACUGUGAAGGAAAGAUGAAAAGAACUUUGAAAAGAGAGUGAAAAAGUACGUGAAAUUGUUGAAAGGGAAGGGUUUAAGGUCAGACUUGGUUUACCAGGCCAGCAUCGGUUUAGAUGGCAGGAUAAUGGCGUAGGAAUGUGGCUUUGCUUCGGUAAAGUGUUAUAGCCUGCGUUGAUACUGCCUAUUUAGACCGAGGACUGCGUCUUUGACAAGGAUGC
rnacentral:rRNA from 1 species